AAGAAAUUAGUUAAUUUUAAAUAACAUGAGCUUGUCAAGCUUAAAUAACUCUUUAGAGUAUUUCUUU
rnacentral:tRNA from 1 species